GAUGAACGCUGGCGGCGUGCCUAAUACAUGCAAGUCGAGCGAACAGACGAGGAGCUUGCUCCUCUGACGUUAGCGGCGGACGGGUGAGUAACACGUGGAUAACCUACCUAUAAGACUGGGAUAACUUCGGGAAACCGGAGCUAAUACCGGAUAAUAUAUUGAACCGCAUGGUUCAAUAGUGAAAGACGGUUUUGUUGUCACUUAUAGAUGGAUCCGCGCCGCAUUAGCUAGUUGGUAAGGUAACGGCUUACCAAGGCAACGAUGCGUAGCCGACCGGAGAGGGGAGUCAGCCACACUAGAACUGAGACGAGGUCCAGACUCCUACGGGAGGCAGCAGUAGGGAAUCUUCCACAAUGGGCGAAAGCCUAACGGGACAACGCCGCGUGAGGGAUAAAGAUCUUCGGAUAGUAAAACUCUGUUAUUAGGGAAGAACAAAUAUGUAAGUAACUAGGAACGUCUUGACGGUACCUAAUCAGAAAGCCACGGCUAACUACGUG
rnacentral:rRNA from 1 species